GCCUGCCACCUUCACCAGCCUCUCAAUGGCUGCUGUGGGAAGGAUCUCUCUGGUUUUGGUGACCAUUACACAGCCAAAUGGGAAUCUCAUUCAGCUGGGAGCUCCUGGCCAGGCUGUGAAAGCAGCACAAGGGAUUUGGCUCUGAAAGGAGGUUCAGAGCAGCUGUGUGAUGACAAGUCACUUCUGCUUGGCACCUGUGCCCAUCUGCUCUUCUCCCUCAUCCAGGCACCCGUGCCCACCUGCCCUGGGAUGAGCUUUCCAUCAGUCCUCUUCUGAGCAGUCUUCAGAGUUCUGGGUUUUCAUGACUGUGUCAUUAAGAGGAAGAA